rnacentral:lncRNA from 1 species
GAUCUCUUUGUUGUCUUGAGCUCUCAGGGUGGCUGCCUAACACCUGCAGCACUCCCACAUCCCUGUGUAAAUUGCCUGCAUCCCUCGCUGACAAAUGAGAGGCCAUUGCCAGCAACAAGGUAACCUGGCAUUCCCUUCGAGCUGCCUUCUGCUUCCCAGCCAGCUCCAGACAAUCUCGCAGCCUGUCAGUCAGCAUCACGUGAGCAGUCCCCCAUCUAUUGCUCCUGGGACCCAGGGGGUGAUUUGGAAAGGAUCUGCUGGGCUGUCACUCACCUCCAUCUGCCUUCAGGAGAAGGAUUCUGGGUUCCAUGCUGUUUCCUCUUGUGCCUGCAUGGCUUUGAUCACAAUUUGCUUCUCAGGCCUUCAGAAUCACAGCUGCCCUGUAAGGUUUGCCCGUAAUCCUGUUGACAUGUUGUUCCCUGGCAAGCUCUGGACUCUAUUUGCUCCCAGUUUGGGAUUAACUGCUAUUUCUGAUGAUUCUGCUAUUGCCAUAGAUGUCCUGUUUCUUACCUGGAUUUAAGAGCUGUUUGGGUCUAAAGUACUCCAGACCUUCUCUGUCACUGUAUUCUGAUCAGCCACAUUUUUACUUCAAGAUUUCAUUAUUGAAUCCAUUUCUCUCUCUCUCAUUUUUGUCCCCACUGGCCCUUGUGCACAACAUACAACCAGAGCUACACCAGGAAUCUGUGUGGAGAGCUCCCAUGAGCCCGCAGCACUCACCAGCAUUUGCCAGCAAGGUUCCUGCCUGGAAAACAAAAGCAACAGAGCUCUGACAUGACAGCAUAAUAUAUCAGCUCAGUCCUUGAAAGGUCCUGCAGAUGCUGCUGACAUUCUGGCUGGCUGAGAUGUUUGGCUCUGCUGGGAGACCUCUCCAUCCUCUUUCUGGGUCAGCUGGGCCCCAAAAGGCCGACUGGGUGGAGGGUGAAGGUGCUGAGAGUGGAGUUGUUCUGUGUUUGAGAGUAAAUGUGGAUAAACAUCCCUUACCCCAUGCUGAUGGAGCACUGCAAUGUCCCUGCCUGCCCUUCACACCAAAAGGUGGCUUGGAGGAGGCAGAGGAGCUCUGUGGCAGCCUUCAGUGAGGUGGAGGUGUGUUGGAGAGCUUCAGGUGGAAGUAGGAAGACGAGGAUGGUGGAAAUCGUUGCAGUUUCACAGCUGGACACAAAGCCAAAGGGAAGAAGCUUCUGGAGCUGCACUGUGGGAAAUGACUACUGUUCAAAUCCUGCCUUUUCCAUCCCUGUGCUGGCCCCAGCAGAGACACAGGAGCACAAAGAUGGGCCUGGAAGCAGCAGGCCCUGUGGUUUUUCAGAACACCUGAGUCAGGACUCUGGGGUGAGAAUUCCCAGCAGUGCCAUGGAUUCCCUUAGGGCAAGCCACAAACCAGCUACAUACACAGCAGUUGCAGAGCUUGGCUUCCAGUUGGAUACCAAAAUAAUCAGCUCCACAAAAACAGCCUGCUCCAGUCACUAG